CCUACGGGAGGCAGCAGUGGGGAAUUUUGCGCAAUGGGCGAAAGCCUGACGCAGCGACGCCGCGUGGAGGAAGAAGGCCUUCUGGACGUAAACUCCUUUUAGAGGGGACGAAAAGCCCGAUUUGUCGGGAAUUGACGGUACCCUCAGAAAAAGCACCGGCUAACUACGUGCCAGCAGCCGCGGUAAUACGUAGGGUGCAAGCGUUGUCCGGAUUCACUGGGUGUAAAGGGUGCGCAGGCGGCUUUGUAAGACGGAUGUGAAAUCCCUGGGCUUAACCGAGGAACUGCGUUCGUGACUGCAAAGCUAGAGUGCGGCAGAGGGGGGUGGAAUUCCGGGUGUAGAAGUGAAAUGCGUAGAGAUCAGGAGGACCACCGAUGGCGAAGGCAGCCCCCGGGGUUGGCACUGACGC
rnacentral:rRNA from 1 species